AGUGGCGGACGGGUGAGUAACGCGUGAGAAUCUGCCUUCAGGAGGGGGACAACAGUUGGAAACGGCUGCUAAUACCCCGUAAGUCUACGGAUAAAACGGUUAAUUCCGCCUGAAGAUGAGCUCGCGUCGGAUUAGCUAGUUGGUGGGGUAAAGGCUUACCAAGGCGACGAUCCGUAGCUGGUCUGAGAGGAUGAUCAGCCACACUGGGACUGAGACACGGCCCAGACUCCUACGGGAGGCAGCAGUGGGGAAUUUUCCGCAAUGGGCGAAAGCCUGACGGAGCAACGCCGCGUGCGGGAGGACGGCCUGUGGGUUGUAAACCGCUUUUCUCAGGGAAGAAGAUCUGACGGUACCUGAGGAAUCAGCAUCGGCUAACUCCGUGCCAGCAGCCGCGGUAAUACGGAGGAUGCAAGCGUUAUCCGGAUUUAUUGGGCGUAAAGCGUCCGCAGGCGGCUAAUCAAGUCUGCUGUUAAAGGCCGAGGCUUAACUUCGGUUGAGCAGUGGAAACUGAUUAGCUAGAGUGCGAUAGGGGUAGAGGGAAUUCCCAGUGUAGCGGUGAAAUGCGUAGAUAUUGGGAAGAACACCAGUGGCGAAGGCGCUCUACUGGGUCGCAACUGACGCUGAGGGACGAAAGCUAGGGGAGUGAAAGGGAUUAGAUACCCC
rnacentral:rRNA from 1 species